rnacentral:lncRNA from 1 species
CUGAAAUCGAGCGUAAUUAUGAAUUUGGGUUAGCGUAUAGAAUAGUUGCAGCAUAUUACCUCUUUUUUGUGUUUUCUGCCUGUUCCACAUGAUUACACUCUUCAGGCUAAUAACUUACCGCCACUACUUUAAAUUUUAAAUAAAUCUACUCAGCGCAUGCUUUAACAUUUAUGGAGCUAAUACAAGGUGACGGCAAGCAGUGUGUGCCACAAAUACUGAAUAGUUAGCAUGAAAAACAUAAAAUAUUUUAUAUUGAAGUCGCAUGAAUUCACAAGGUCACGGUAUGCGAGAUCAGAGCCGCUGGAGAGUACGACAAGAUGAGCAAGCAUACCCAAGAGGGUUGUGGAGCGGUCCCACAAAGAGUGGCAACAAAAGAAGCUGACUGAGUCAAAUUUUAUUGCUCGUGGCGCCGCAGAAAUAAUAUAUCAAAAUUUGUAACUAGCAUGAAGUAUGCAAAAAGUUGGUACAUUACAAAUAUACAAGUACGGUAGUCAAAGCCAGCGACGGUGUCAGUUACACUGUACAGGUGAGCUGGUGAAACAAUGCAGCGUGAUGAAACAAAAAGCUCAACAAAUUUUUGGCAGAAGUGAAAGCCAUCGUGAUAAGCUAUAAAACGACGAAUGAAAAUGAAAAGCAUUUCAAAAUCUGCUUUUUGUUGCUCUCUAAGCUGUGCUAUUCAGAAAUACCACCCACCGAACUACAACUUUGUUUAUGGCUAUAGAGCGUAAGACUAGCACUAGAAAGCAACACGCGUGUGCAAAUAAAUAGAAUACAGGGUAAACUAUAAGAAAAUUAUUAUGCAGAAUGACAAUGACUUCAAC